UUCUAAGAUCGAAACAUCAAACAGACAAAACACCAAACAGGAGCUGCAGGAGCCUAUAGGCACCCGUAUGGAUGAUACAGGAACCUGUUCUUGCAGGUCCACAUUUCUUCUUUUGCCAACAACUGAUGUGUUCAGUUUAACCCUGUGCUUUCCUCACCAUGGAAGAAGGACAGGAACAGAACAAAGUCCUCCAGAAAUUGCAGGCUGCAUGGUUGGUUCCAGUCAAGCAACACGCAGGGAAGCUCUUAGGAGACUGAAGGCUUGAAAACAUUUUCAGCUGCAGCGGUCAGGAUGCCAUGAACGGAUCAGCGCUUGGGCAAAUCUGGAUGCCCUGCCCAUGUCGAUGGUGGCAGUGUGACUGUCCCAUGGAACGUGACACGUGGUGUGGGACAGACCUGCUGGGGGCUACAACCAGACUAGCCCUCCCUCCAACAAAUCUGAACCAGAUUAAGGGAAAUGUCAAUGCCAAGAAGCUUCAUCAUGUGUCUUGACUGCCUGCCUUCCCUGUUGCCUCCCUAUUCAAGGCUGCAAGCUGCAUUCUUUGAAUGCAUUCGAGAUUGCUCAUACGGACAAGGAACGCUUUUCUCUGACGUUUGGAGUACU